GCUCAGCACAUCCCUCUGGCCACUCUGAGGCCUCCAUCCAUGUAGAAGGAAGAGGGAAAGAAAGAAUGAAAGUGGAAGAGGAAGGAGACAGGGUGAGAGGUGGUGCAGGGGGACUGGGGACAGAGGGUGUGUCCCAGGAGGGGCCUCUCGUGCCCUCCAGUGACAGCAUCUGGAUGCCUGCCGUGGACCCCUCCAGCACCAGGCACCGACCCACACUCCCUUCAUCCCAGCCUCAGCUCCAGGAAGAGGAGGGGCUCAUCCCUACGCUAGAGCUGAGAACACUGAGCUCAGGGAAAACACUCGGCUGGUCCUUGGCAAAACUUCUGGCUCCAUGGUUCUUCUUCCUCCUCAGCCUCCAUCACAGCCCAGCGCCUCCCCACCAGGUGGGGAAUCCGCCUUCUUGAGGGACACAGGCACUCUGAUUUCAGGCUCCUAUUUGUUCUGGAAAACAAAUAGUUUUGCUGCAGGGAUCACAGGAGCUGUCCUAACAGCUUCCCGGGGGAGAGGGCCCAGGCUCUGACCAUCCCCAGGGAGCGGGUGGAGCACAACAGAGGCACAGAAGAGCCACAGAUUGGGGGUCGCAAGCUCUGAAAGGCAACUUUUCUCAGGAGAGACACAGUGGCUCAAAGGGCUCAGCAGUCAGAGACACCAGCCUUUGAGUCCUGAACCCCACUUACUAGCCACCAGUUUGAGCAAGAUGUUUAGCCUCCCCGUGCCUGCAGUUCCUCCCUCCUAAGGCAGGGUAGGUGGUAAUGGUGCCUACCCCGUGGGGGUGUCCUGGGAGGGUGAUAGUCCAGGUAAAGCCUCCAGAGCCCUGCCUUAGACUUGAGGGUCCCCACACGUGCUGGUGGAAUCGAUCACUUUUGUACUUUCUCCCCCUAGGCUGACCUCUCCCAAGGCCCAUGCAUCACACCAGGCAGGAGUUUUUUCAUCUGCACACAACACGGACUGGCUCUGACUCCCAGCUGCCCUCCAGGCAGGAGCUCUGGUUCCAACAGUAACACUGGCUCCUCAAACUUCCAACCCAAGGAACGGUUUCUGCCAAGAAAAUGUGCCUUAGGAGAUGAGACUACCAGUGGAGCAGAAUUCCGGCAGUUCUCCAGGGGCUGCCUGUCACGAGGGCACUCAAGCUGCCUGCAGAGAGGCCCAUACGGGGAGCAUCUAAGGUCCCGCCAACAGCUGGCACCAACUUGCCAACCAUCCGGGAAGAAGACCCUCCAGCCCCAGUCAAGCUUGCAAAUGGCUGUGGCUCUGGCUGAUGUCUCAACUGCAACCUCUUGAAAGACUCCAAGCCAGAAUGUUCCUGAAUUUCUGACCCCCCAAGACUGUGAGAUAUAUUAAAUGUGUAUUGUUAUUUUAAAUUUCUACGUUUUGAUUUGUUACAUAGCAA
rnacentral:lncRNA from 10 species